rnacentral:tRNA from 1 species
GCCGAAGUGGCGGAACGGUAUACGCGGCGGUCUCAAAAACCGCUGGGGGUAAACCCUGUGUGGGUUCGAAUCCCACCUUCGGCA